UACGAAGGGGGCUAGCGUUGCUCGGAAUUACUGGGCGUAAAGCGCACGUAGGCGGCUUUCUAAGUCGGGGGUGAAAUCCUGGAGCUCAACUCCAGAACUGCCUUCGAUACUGGAGAGCUCGAGUCCGGGAGAGGUGAGUGGAACUGCGAGUGUAGAGGUGAAAUUCGUAGAUAUUCGCAAGAACACCAGUGGCGAAAGGCGGCUCACUGGCCCGGUACUGACGCUGAGGUGCGAAAGCGUGGGGAGCAAACAGG
rnacentral:rRNA from 1 species